ACUACCUGCUGACAUGACCAGACCUUGGUGUCCUAGAAAUUUUCAUCCCAGGCACAGCAAGUCCCAAAGAUUCUUUAAGCUUUAGGAGAUACCGAGGGCACGUCAGAGUCUGAUGACCCAGCAAUGUUGAUUAGAAGUCCUCCUGAAAAAAUCAAGUUGAGGAACGUCGUCUUGCCCAAAUGUUCGAAGAUAUCCUAAAGAG